rnacentral:rRNA from 1 species
CGUGAGGAACUUGCCCAUGAGCUGGGGACAACAUUCGGAAACGGAUGCUAAUACCCCAUAGGUGGAUUGGCCGCAUGACUAAUUCAUUAAAGGUGGCUCUGCUACCACUCAUGGAUAGCCUCGCGGCGUAUUAGCUAGUUGGUAAGGUAAUGGCUUACCAAGGCAGUGAUACGUAGCCGACUUGAGAGGGUGAUCGGCCACACUGGGACUGAGACACGGCCCAG